GGUGAACGCUGGCGGCGUGCCUAAUACAUGCAAGUCGAGCGAACAGACGAGGAGCUUGCUCCUCUGACGUUAGCGGCGGACGGGUGAGUAAAACGUGGAUAACCUACCUAUAAGACUGGGAUAACUUCGGGAAACCGGAGCUAAUACCGGAUAAUAUAUUGAACCGCAUGGUUCAAUAGUGAAAGACGGUUUUGCUGUCACUUAUAGAUGGAUCCGCGCCGCAUUAGCUAGUUGGUAAGGUAACGGCUUACCAAGGCAACGAUGCGUAGCCGACCUGAGAGGGUGAUCGGCCACACUGGAACUGAGACACGGUCCAGACUCCUACGGGAGGCAGCAGUAGGGAAUCUUCCGCAAUGGGCGAAAGCCUGACGGAGCAACGCCGCGUGAGUGAUGAAGGUCUUCGGAUCGUAAAACUCUGUUAUUAGGGAAGAACAAAUGUGUAAGUAACUAUGCACGUCUUGACGGUACCUAAUCAGAAAGCCACGGCUAACUACGUG
rnacentral:rRNA from 1 species